rnacentral:lncRNA from 1 species
GACCGGAGAGCGCUGCGGUAUGUUUGGGCUGCAGCAGCGCUCGGAGCCCUGAGACAGGCUAGUAGCUACUUCCAACUUUAAAACCUGAGCUACUGAGCUACUGAGCUAAUGAGCUACGAGCUAAGGAGCUACUGAGCUAAUGAGCUAACCUCCCCGAGGGAGGAAGAGCGCAGCUCGGAGGGGAAAGCGUUCAGCUCUUACGCGCGCGCGCGGAAGCCAACUCUUGUUUGCACGGUACUUGCGUUUUGCGACCCGACUAUUUCCUCCGAGGAAAAUUACAUGGCUAGUUGAGCUCACCCUCCCAACCUCCCCCGAGGGGAGACGAGCAAAGCUCGGAGGGGGCAACGGUCCGCUCUAUCUACUUCCCGACUAUUUCCGCUUCGGAAAUAGAGUAAGGGAAGCCCGCUCUUGCUGCUACUGAGCUUCUUUAGCAGUUGUUGCUCUACUUUCUCUUACUAGGAGCUGCUCUAUCUCCGGAUCAGCUCCCAAAGGGGCUGCCUCCGGGCUUGAUAGCAUUUAUACUAGUAACCCUGUCUACAACAAUACACUUUCCAAUAGGACCCGAAAUACGAGCCUUAUUGAGC